rnacentral:rRNA from 1 species
UACGGAGGGUGCAAGCGUUUAUCCGGAUUCACUGGGUUUAAAGGGUGCGUAGGCGGGUUGGUAAGUCCGUGGUGAAAUCUCCGAGCUUAACUCGGAAACUGCCGUGGAUACUAUCAAUCUUGAAUAUCGUGGAGGUAAGCGGAAUAUGUCAUGUAGCGGUGAAAUGCUUAGAUAUGACAUAGAACACCAAUUGCGUAGGCAGCUUACUACACGAUGAUUUGACGCUGAGGCACGAAAGCGUGGGGAGCAAACAGG